rnacentral:lncRNA from 1 species
CUAAAGCUCCUCCAGCAGAGCCCGGUGUUCUUCCUGGCUGAAGAGUGGUUCCAGCAGAGUGGGCUCUUCCACGUCCUUCAGCUCCCCCAGUGGCGCCGGAUCUAGGAAAGGUUGUGCCUUUUGCUGAAACUCUAGGGUCGACAGGAGCUCAUCUAAUAGGCUGGGGAUUUAACAUCCUACUUCACAAGAUGCUCAUAGCCUUGAUCCAUUACAGCCGCUGCCUCAUCCAUCUCUGCUCAUAUCCUUGAUCCAAUACAGCAGCCACCCCGUCCAUCUCUGCUCAUAACCUAAACUAAUAGAAGCCAGAGGGAAGAAAUGGAAGCCAACACUCCAGAAAGCUGUGACUCACCUAAGAGUUUGCAAUUUCUGUCUGGGGGAAAAGAAGAGAAAGUUGACUGUGAAAAUAAGCAUUACCAUAGAGCCUUCUCUAUGGCAACAUCAAAAAUGAAAGCUGAUUCUCAUCUUCCUAACAAUCUGCAAAGACAAGUGAAACACAACCUACUGAGCAUCAAGUUAAAGAAGGAGUGAAUUUGAGUAGCACGGGAGGAAACCAUGUCUUCGCCACUAGGGAAAUAAAUAUGACCACUGUUCCUCUGCCCUCCUCCGAGGCUAAAGAUGGGUUAAAUAUGAGUGCCUGACCUCAGAUAAUGGAAUGAGCAAAAAAGCUAUAAAAUGCAUGCAUUACAUAAUUAAGAGGGUGGGAAGGGAUUUUUUUUAAAAAGGCAAUUCCUAGUUGGGUUCCUUCCUGUUCACGCCAUUGAUGAAGAAAUUAGUCUUGCCCUAGAAUUCUGGGGAUGGCUGCAGACACAACAAACACUGAGCAGAUGAAAUUCACGGUAAUUUAUUCAUCGCGCAUACUCAGCCCAACAGGGGAUGACACUGCAUCUAUGCAGGUCUACCCGGGGGUUCACUCUGGAGCACAGGGUGCGGGAGGCAGGCUUGGUAGAAAUCAGAGGGUGGGGUAACCCUUGGUCCCUUGAGGGAUGUGCUUGACUAAUUCAAAGAGUUUAGCAGUCUGUUGGGGGCAUGAAAGCCAUUAGGCUGAGGACCUGGUGGGAUGCAGCAUGAAAUUUUAGGUGUCACAGUAAAAUUGACCCUGAUGCUUUAAAAUCAGACAUUUAUUUUAAUGAUGACUAAUAUUUUGAGAGGCUGAGAGAAGGCUGUUGAGACAUUGUAAUAAGUGCUUAGGGGCAUGAGACAUUAGGAAGGCCACAAUUAUGAGUAAUGAAAUGUGGAAGCUGAUGAGAAGCUACUGCUCCCAUUUGCUUAGCAGGAAGCAGGAAAAGUGAUCUGGGAUCUCUGGCAGCACAAGCGUGUUGGUAAAUAUUUGGGUGAUGUCAUGCAUCCCCCAUGCAUUGGUUUUCAUGUCUCCAGUGAGUUGUUGGGCAAGUCUGAUAUUACUGAUCCACACGCAGCAGGCAGCUUCCUGUAUGGAGCUACCUCCACCCCUUGGACAGUUCAGGACUGAAAGGUUGUCAAAAAUGUGAACUCCUUGAUGUCCAGUAAAGGCAACUGAGGGGACUGUCUAGCAUUGGUGUAAAAAGUGCACUUUCCUAAGGAGCAUGAACUUAGAGUAAUCAAAUCCUGUGGCAACAGUGGUAUCCAGCAGGGCAUCCACUCGAUUCUUUGUACCUUAAAUAGGAAUUCUUUGAGGAGCUCAGUGUAUCUCUCAACUGAAGCAGCUGCCUGCAUCCUACAGGGGCAGUGGAAGCUCUGCUGGACACCUUCUUCACAAGCCCAGCACUGUGUUUUCUGAUGAAAUGUUGCUUUGGUGAUCAUCAGUAGUGUCUGGAACUCUGCAAGGGAUAAGGAGUGUCCCUGUGAGAGCUGUACUGUGUCCUGAGUUAAAAUAAAGGCAUCUGUUACCUUGUUUGGUAUUCUGAGUAAAAAAAAAAAAAAAAA